rnacentral:rRNA from 1 species
AUUGAACGCUGGCGGCAGGCCUAACACAUGCAAGUCGAACGAGUGGCGGACGGGUGAGUAAUGUCUGUGAAAAAGCCCGAUGGAGGGGGAUAACAACUGGAAACGGUAGCUAAUACCGCAUACCAUCGGAUGUGCCCAGAUGGGAUUAGCUAGUAGGGGGGGUAACGGCUCACAUAAGCGACCAUCCCUAGCUGGUCUGAGAGGAUGACCAGCCACACUGGAACUGAGCCACGGUCCGGACUCCUACGGGAGGCAGCAGUGGGGAAUAUUGCACAAUGGGCGCAAGCCUGAUGCAGCCAUGCCGCGUGUAUGAGGAAGGCCUUCGGGUUGUAAAGUACUUUCAGCGAGGAGGCGUUACUCGCAGAAGAAGCACCGGCUAACUCCGUGCCAGCAGCCGCGGUAAUUC